rnacentral:snoRNA from 1 species
CGUCGAUGAUGAGAAACAUUUUCAAUCAGUUCUGCUUCUGAACCAAAGUGAUGACCCUUAAUAUACCAUACCAAGAUCUCUGAUAC